GGAUGUGAGGGCGAUCUGGCUGCGACAUCUGUCACCCCAUUGAUCGCCAGGGUUGAUUCGGCUGAUCUGGCUGGCUAGGCGGGUGUCCCCUUCCUCCCUCACCGCUCCAUGUGCGUCCCUCCCGAAGCUGCGCGCUCGGUCGAAGAGGACGACCAUCCCCGAUAGAGGAGGACCGUUCUUCCGUCAAGGGUAUACGAGUAGCUGCGCUCCCCUGCUAGAACCUCCAAACAAGCUCUCAAAAGGGAAGCCCAAAUCCUGCAGGGCUCAGUCGUCCGCAAAAUCUGCCAUACACU
rnacentral:snRNA from 1 species